rnacentral:rRNA from 1 species
GAGUUUGAUCGUGGCUCAGGAUGAACGCUGGCGGCGUGCCUAAUACAUGCAAGUCGAGCGAACAGACGAGGAGCUUGCUCCUCUGACGUUAGCGGCGGACGGGUGAGUAACACGUGGAUAACCUACCUAUAAGACUGGGAUAACUUCGGGAAACCGGAGCUAAUACCGAAUAAUAUAUUGAACCGCAUGGUUCAAUAGUGAAAAACGGUUUUGCUGUCACUUAUAGAUGGAUCCGCGCCGCAUUAGCUAGUUGGUAGGGUAACGGCUUACCAAGGCGACGAUGCGUAGCCGACCUGAGAGGGUGAUCGGCCACACUGGAACUGAGACACGGUCCAGACUCCUACGGGAGGCAGCAGUAGGGAAUCUUCCGCAAUGGGCGAAAGCCUGACGGAGCAACGCCGCGUGAGUGAUGAAGGUCUUCGGAUCGUAAAACUCUGUUAUUAGGAAGACAAAUGUGUAGUAACUAUGCACGCCUUGACGGUACCUAAUCAGAAAGCCACGGCU